UCUAAAAGUCCCUAAUAAACACGAAUUAAACCUAAGAGUUUUAAUUCGGAAGGUAGGAAAAGCUACGGAUGGAGUGCGAAUAAGGACUAAGGGUUUCACAAUUCGUACGAAUUUGUUUUCUACACGGAGAUCCAUAAAAGGGACUCUUGACAUCUAUAAGAUUAUAUGAAUACUUUAGAUACCUUUCGAUGUUCUUUCAAUAAUUUUUCAGGGACAUUUUCUGAGUCUUAUAUGGCUCGAUUGUUCUUAUGUAGCUCUUUGAAGAGGUCUGAAAUUGAAACAACAAUUAAGAGAGCUCAAAACGAUCCAAAUUCUCUUUCAUUGGUUCCUGUUUAAGAUGAAUUGGUGUUGAUUUCUUUUCUUGAGGUUGGGUACGCAACUAAAGAGAUUAUACAGGCGAAGAACUUUUCUCUGGCUCCGUUGAUCCUAAUUCACUCAAUAUGAACUUUUCUCUGGCUCCGGUGAUCCUAAUUCACUCAAUAAUAUGGAAAGAAGAUGUGGACGUGGAUUGAAUAAGCUAGAUCGAAAGAUGAGACUGGAUUUAGUAGAUGGCAUGUUUACUUGAGUUGAAAAUUUCGACAAGAUUGAAUUUUGCAAGUCCAAGCUGAAAACAUUCGCAGAUUGGUGUUGGGAUACAAACACCAUGGUGUCAGAUUUAUCAAUUGGGUUCUCUGAUUUUAGGUCAUUAUCUCCCGAAGAGAGUUCAGACCCAGCAAUCCAAUAGGUUACUGAUUUAGGCUUUGUUUAAUUUGUUAUUUAUCACCAGCGAAAAUUAAGUAUAACACAAUUUCUAGAUGUGUACUUACCUAAAGGUAAUUUAUUGUUUAACGUUCUUUUUGAUACCUGUUGACACUGAAAUAACCUUAUGGAAUGUGGAAUGUUACUCAUUCGAAUAAAAGUUUGCAAUUUGCUUUGAAUUGUCCAAAUCUUGAGCUAAAAUCGAGAUAGAUAAAAGACGAAAGGUGUGUGAUUAACUAAUUUUUUGUUAGAUCAGUUUUUUGUUUUGAGUAUCUUAUCAAAUGGUUCUAUUCUUGCGUACAUAUUCAGAUUGAGCAAUCCAUAUCAUGUCGUACAUUAUGGGUCAAUUCUAAACAACUUCAAACUAUUUGAUAAUCCUGGAUAUUUAGGAAACUGAAAAAAAGAAACAGAUUGAAUAUUUGGUACUUAAAUAUAGUAUACGUUUCACAUUUUAACUUUAUAACAUUCAAGUCAUAGAUGCAUUUCGCUCACAUGUUACUGUUAUAUCAGGUAAUACGAUGGGGAUGAGCUGUUGGGUCGAAUUCCACCCAAGGAGAGAUACCAUUGCCGACUUCGAUAGUGUACUAGACAAAAAAAGUAACAUAGACCUCAUGAAAUGAUUUUGCGUUGGGGGAUGUUGAAUGUGGACGAGCUAUUGAACCUCCAACUGUUAUCUCUGACAAGUUGAAGUGCAGUAAUCGUCGUUGUGGGCAUCGUUGUGGUAGUUAUGUGGCUGUACUGACGUAGGAAAUAAAAACGAUAAACUUUGUUCUAGCUGACUUCAUUACUUGGUGUGAAAUAUCACAAAUGAUGUGAAAGGAUGUUCCUGACUUUGUUUCUAAAGAUACUGCGUACCUGCAAUAAGUAAGUUGAAGUGAAUUGGCUGAGCUUGGUCCACUUUCAGGGAUUGGAUGUGAUCGCUGCUAAUCACCCCAUACCUCGAUUCUCCGUUUGUUGUAAGGCGGUGUAGGAAACAACAAGAAACCAGUGGAGUUUUUUGCUGGGGUGCACUCUACUUAGCCAGUGUAAGUUCUACUUUAAAGAAAACAAGAAGUGAACGGUAAGAGAACAUAAGAAGUUGGGGAAGAAACAAGUUUGCUGUCAGUGGUUGAUUGAAGUAUCAAGUGGAUCUUGGGGUCAUGGACUGAGAAGAUUGUAUAAUAUUGGGGAAUUCGAUAAAGAAUUGAAAGACGGAUUUUCACCUGUUUUUGAGUUUGCACAGAGAUAGUGAGAAAUGGGACAAGUUUUAUCAGCUGACAAACAGUGGAUUAAUCUUGGUUACUGCCAUUGAUUAGAUUGAUAUAAACGGAGGAGAUUACAGACUAUUCUGGAGUCUGAAAAGUCAAGAAGAGUACGUAGGGAGUAUGGAUUGUCGAGAAUAUUGUUUGGUUUUGAAUUUGUGUGGCAGAAAAAUUAAUUGAUGUAGACGGUGCCUAUUGUUCUAUUCAAGUGAGAAAUGGUGAUGAUUAAGAAUUUCAAGAAACUGAAGUCUGUCUAUAAGAAGGGGUUAAACAACAUUUAUGAUGUUGGCCUCCUGAUUGUUGGUAUCAUCCUGAUCGUUUUUGUCCUUUUUCUCCAUCAAGGAAGUCAGGCUCAAUGGUUUGUCGACGGGCAAACACCAUUUCAUGCAAAACUGACGUGUACUUUAUAACGAGGAAAACAUAAAUUGAAUCCACGUAUUCAUUCAC